CCCUUAGAUGUUCUGGGCCGCACGCGCGCUACACUGAUGCAUUCAACGAGCCUAUCCUUGACCGACAGGUCCGGGUAAUCUUUGAAUCUGCAUCGUGACGGGGAUAGAUUAUUGCAAUUAUUAAUCUUCAACGAGGAAUGCCUAGUAGGCGCAAGUCAUCAGCUUGCGUCGAUUACGUCCCUGCCCUUUGUACACACCGCCCGUCGCUCCUACCGAUUGGGUGUGCUGGUGAAAUGUUCGGAUCGGCCGUUUGUCGCGGUUUCCGCGGCUCGUGGCUGAGAAGUUCAUUAAACCCUCCCACCUAGAGGAGGGAGAAGUCGUAACA
rnacentral:rRNA from 1 species